ensembl:lncRNA
GUCAGGCCUCAAGAUGGAGCGGGAGAAUUUGAGAAUGAUCUUGGGUUUAUUUUUGCUUCCCUUCGGGCCGUGCUGAUGUCUAGAAACUACUGAUACCUGGCUAGAAACACUUUCACUGUCAGCAGAGUUGUGUCCAUUUCCUGUGGAUUGUUUCUUUCCUCUGCUGGUGGUGUUUUUCUUCUUCGUUGGUUUUCUACCUGGUUUGUUGUUCUUCUUCGGGUUGUUCUGGUUAAGUCUGGGAGUGCAGAGAGACAGUUGAACCUUUGUUAGUCUGUGGAGUCUCAAGAUGGGUAAAGAAACAGCAGCGGACAUCUUGAGUUGAUUCAGGUUGACGCUAUGCAGAGAAUCUCCUUCCUCCAUCUUGAGUUGAUUCAGGUUAACGCUAUGCAGAGAAUCUCCUUCCUCCAUCUUGAGUUGAUUCAGGUUAACGCUAUGCAGAGAAUCUCCUUCCUCCAUCUUGAGUUGAUUCAGGUUAACACUAUGCAGAGAAUCUCCUUCCUCCAUCUUGAGUUGAUUCAGGUUAACACUAUGCAGAGAAUCUCCUUCCUCCAUCUUGAGUUGAUU